rnacentral:rRNA from 1 species
CCUACGGGUGGCUGCAGUGGGGAAUAUUGGACAAUGGGCGAAAGCCUGAUCCAGCCAUGCCGCGUGUGUGAAGAAGGCCUUCGGGUUGUAAAGCACUUUCAGUGGGGAAGAAAGCCUUGGGGCUAAUACCCUCGAGGAAGGACAUCACCCACAGAAGAAGCACCGGCUAACUCCGUGCCAGCAGCCGCGGUAAUACGGAGGGUGCGAGCGUUAAUCGGAAUUACUGGGCGUAAAGCGCGCGUAGGCGGUCUGUUAAGCCGGUUGUGAAAGCCCCGGGCUCAACCUGGGAACGGCAUCCGGAACUGUCAGGCUAGAGUGCAGGAGAGGAAGGUAGAAUUCCCGGUGUAGCGGUGAAAUGCGUAGAGAUCGGGAGGAAUACCAGUGGCGAAGGCGGCCUUCUGGACUGACACUGACGCUGAGGUGCGAAAGCGUGGGUAGCAAACAGGAUUAGAUACCCUUGUAGUC